rnacentral:tRNA from 1 species
CCCUUCGAUUACCCACUUGGAUCCUCCAAAGUCCCGACGUACUUGUCUAAGGCAAGUAUGUUGGGA